GCUUGGGUAGCUCAGUUAGUUAGAGCGUCCCGCUGAAGACGGGAAGGUCCCCGGCGCAAUUCCGGGCCCAAGCA
rnacentral:tRNA from 1 species